rnacentral:lncRNA from 1 species
UUCGAAGUAUGGCAAGGGGGUCUGAGGUUUGAGUGUUGGCGCAGCAUAGGGGGCAUUUAUUUUUGCAGCUAGGACGGCUAGAGUUUGUGUUGCAGUAGAAGUUUGAAGGAUGAGGGGUUGAAUUGGUCAUGGAGAGAUUGUGGGAGCAAGUUAUGGGUCAGAUUAUGGAGAGAUUGGUAGAGUGAAUCAAGGAGUUGGAGUGAGAGGAGAGAUGUGCUGAUUUGGGUGUGUAACUACUCAGAUUUUCGGUAGAAAUUCCUUUUGGGUAAAGUCCUUGUUCGGGUUUUUUUCUUCUUCUUUUUGACAUUUUCGUUUACUUUUUUUCCUCUCUGGCCGAAUUGUUCUUUGGUAUUUUAGCAUCGUUUAUCACCCUGGUUGAUAUAUUGUAAGUAAAGUACCUCUCAGUACCUUUCGGGUUGUUUUCUAUUAUUUCUCUUUCAGUCAAAUUCACUCCUCUCUCUCUCUUCUUUCUCCUUCACCUUUUU